rnacentral:rRNA from 1 species
UACGUAGGGGCCGAGCGUUGUCCGGAGUUAUUGGGCGUAAAGCGCGCGCAGGCGGCCUCGCGCGCCCGACGUGAAAGCCCCCGGCUUAACCGGGGAGGGUCGUUGGGGACGGCGGGGCUUGAGGGCGGGAGAGGGUGGUGGAAUUCCCGGUGUAGUGGUGAAAUGCGUAGAUAUCUGGAGGAACACCGGUGGCGAAGGCGGCAUCCUGGACCGGCAUUGACGCUGAGGAGCGAAAGCCAGGGGAGCAAACGGGG